rnacentral:tRNA from 2 species
GCGCAUGAAAUGUAUUCUCCACUGCCCUCCGAAGGCAGGGGUUGCUGGUUCGAUCCCAGCCGGGCGCGCCA